ACAACAAACUCGUCUAGCCAUGUUAUUUAAUAACAAGGUUUUACGCUGCAGUAACUGAAACAACGGACGAAAUGUCAACUGGAAAAUAACUGGCGAUCCGUCUAUGGAAUGAUGGACCUUUUUUAAAAAGAAACCGUCCUGGUUUCCCAACUGAAACGGAAUUUGUUGGUAAUCUCAGUGUUGCUAGAGCGCACGCGACUGGGGUGAUCAGCACCAUGACUGUUAAAUAACCGUGAGUACCAGAACCGAGUCAAGCAAUCUCCCGUUUAACAGACUUCGCUAUCAUUCGCUUCAAGCCUGGGGACACAAUUUUGAUUGUCGUAUCUCAACCAGCGAGCUUAACUAUUUCUCCCCAACACAUGGAUGCUUUUAUAUCAGAACUUUUCACGCGAGGAAUAUCCAAAGACAGCUUGUACAUUUUCUGUCAUUGUUUGGAGUCCAAGUUCAAUAAGUCUAAGAAAUACGAAACGAUUGUAAAAUGCGAGGACGCCAUCCGAGAAAACGUGACGCUAUGCGGGUAUGACCAGCAGCAAACGCAUACCUUUUAGCGAUGGUCAAUGCUAGUUUCCAGCUUGUCUUAUUUAAGAUGUAGAGCAGCGGAUCAAAAUAUCACCUAAAGGACGAAACACUAUUGAUUCCUCAAACAGGAUCUCCAACACAUAGGAAAAUCGAAAGGUAUUCCACUCACUUUUUAGGUUAAUUUAGCAACAGAACAGUUGUGUAAAUUUUCUCGGAGAAGAAUUUGCUAUUCUAUGGGAAAAAUGAACAUUGUGUGCUGAAGACGAAGAGAGAAAAAAAUGGGAAACUUGGGAGCAAGGCGGAUUGUGAAAGGAGAAGGCACUGAUCAGAAGCAAAUUUUUGGGGAAGUGAAGAUAUUGGUGGAAAACAUAGAAUAUGUAAGACCAAACAAAAUUGGAUAACAGAAAAGAGUUAGAAAAAAAACAUAGAUUGGAAACAUAGAAAAGGGAAACAAAGAUGAAACGUAAAAAAAAAAUUUUUGAUAACACAUAUAUAGGGUCAAAUGGAAAGGAGUAAUGAGGGAAAAGAUAACAUACACAUUUGGGGUUGGAAAAAAAUGACUCAAAAAGUGUAAACGUCCAGAUGCCUUCUUGUGUGAAUCAGCUCGUGUAAGCAGGACUUUAGGGAUGGGAAGUAAUUUUUUUUCAGAAGAUGACAAACCAGGAUGUGCGAAAUACGGUCCCCACCAUAUGGGCCCCGUCAUACGGGCCUGCCUUUUUUCAUGCGACACACGGGCCUAAAAAAAGACGACAUACGGGCCUAUUUUUAUUAGGAUUAAGUAAAUGACAAAAAAUUCAAUACAGCAAUAUUUUUUGUGUAGGGUGUUAUAGUUUUGAUUAAUCUUGGAUGACCUGUCAUCUAAAUAACUAGCUAACGGUUGGCGGAUAUAUAGGACCAGCCGAAAUAGGCCCAGACAAAAUAGACCCACUUUAAAAAAUAAAUAAUGCGUUACUACUAUAUACUAUAUUAUUUCUCCUUCAAAGUGGGCCUAUUUCUCCCUUUUAUUUCUAGGUUUCAUAUUAAACUCCGAAAUAAAUUAAAAAACGGAACAGCUUCCGUCACCCUUUGUAUACUUAGCCAUAGCUCAAACCAUGAUGAGUGAAAUUUACAGAUUGCCUUCUCGUUAUUCAUAUGUUAGUUAACCAAUUUCCGUCUUUAUUUCUUCAUGAACAUAUUCCUCUUUGUCUUAACUAUAAAAUUCAUGUUUUACAAAUUUCGUUUUCUCUUCAUAACUAUCGCAAAUUUACAAAAUUAUCAAAUUUUAGUAUGCUUCGCCAUUUUCUUCUUCCCUAGCGCGAUUCCCCCUUCAGCGACUCAGCCUUCAACGCGUCCCCCCCCCCCUCAGCGGCUUAGCCUUGAAGUCUCGCCCUCUACCGUUGCCCAGAGCGAGAUCAACCGGUUGCCUAUUGGAUAGCAACCCGGGGUAACUCACCAAAGGUCUUGAGUUUGAAUCUCGGUGGAAAUAAAAUUUCAGCUAAAUUACAUUUUGAAAAUUGUGAAAAAAAAACAUUUGCGUUAAGAUCUCCAAUACCAUGCGGUCAAAUAGCAACCUAAGGUUGGGAAGAUUCGUUAAAUGAUGGGGGUAAAGAUUAAUUUUUUUUUGAAUUGUAAGGUUUUGACGAGAUUUUUUUUCUGUGCGCUCAAGUGUAGGUCUAAAAGAUUGCAGAUGUGGUAGAUAGGAGAUGGUUGAAAUCGUUGUGGGCUCAGAAUAUUUAUUUAUUGCAGUUGCAAAAAAAUAUUGCAAUAGUGGAGAAAGAUCUCGAAAGCGAAGAAUCGGAUGGACAAGAAAUGGAUGAGUUUAGUUUCGAAUCCUGUGCUAAGUUUUGUGAGAUCAUAGAUAUUGAGGAGAUUGAAGAGCAUACAAGGAAAUGUGUCGGAAUGAUUCUAUUAUCGAGACAGAAAAGGUUGAUCAUAAACAACAAUUACCUGCUGUUUUGAACGCAAAUGGUCUCAAGAAAAUGCUUACACAUAGAUUAAAUUUUGUACUGCCACCGAUGAAAUAACCUAUGUGAAUAGGGAGGAAUUCGGGAACUUCGUUACUGUGUUGAGAGCCAGCUACAUUGAUGAUGCGAUUCGUUUGUCGAAAUGUCCCAUCUUCAUAUCCAAAGUGAAAAGACCUCUUUUUGUUUUUUUCAGUGGAGAAGUUGGGAUGGACGGUGGUGGUCUUAGAAGGAACUUCCUUUCGAAGAUCGUGGAUUAUGGUGUUCGUGUCUUUGAAAGAUUCGGUACGGAAGUUGGAUUGAAUACAGCAGAUGUAGACGACAUAUACUUCAUGCUUAGUUUCUCUUCAUCUCUUAGCCUCUCCCUUCUUAGCAAUGUCAAGAGAUGGUAUGGCGAUGGGACAUUUUUUAUAACACCAAAACUUUUCGACCAGGUGUUUGGUAUCCAUGCCUUCACCCGGCACGGUACCUUUACGAAGUAGGUCCCUCUUCUUACAGUUCUCAUGUCCGGGAAGAGGAAGAAAGAUUAUGAGGCGGUUCUAUUUUCUAUAAACCUCAUCACCUUCCAAAUUAAGAUGAAGACCGAGGCCGACAAAAUUUCCAUGAAGGCAAAACUCUUUUCUAAAAACAGGCAUUGCGGAGACUAAAUAAAGUUGCUGUGUCCAAGCAGAGUCAUCUGACAACUCUUUGGGACAACUAUAAUCGUGCCGACCAUCCACUUUCUUCUCUCCAAUUGCUGGAGGAACUUGGAAAAAUAACACAAAAGUUUUCAAAAGCUGACCUCAGAGCAAUAAGCGGAGCUAAGGAAGAUGAGCGAUCGGAUUAAACCCCGAAUGGCAAUUAUUUUUCAUUCAUAUUUUGUCUCGUAUUUUGUGUUCGUUUCUCGUCUCAUUUUAGCUACUGGUUAUGACUGAUGACUAGUAGUGAUGUAACCGCUCUCUGACUGUAUCUUUUUGAUCAGCAUCGAGCAGGAUCAUUAGUUCUGUGUACGCUUUCGACAUUUUUUUUGUAUAUUUAUUCAUUUAUUGAAAUUUGCCCCGUACAUCGCUAAAUUUAGGCCCGUCUGGCAGGGCCCGUAUGACAGGGCCCGUACGUUGGACAACCCCCGCAGGGAAAAGUUAAUGAAAGAAAGUAUAUGGCAUUUAAUUAGUCUAUUUUAUUAGUCUUGAACAUGUGAACGUCAAAACAUGUUUAGGCUUUUGACUACAACGUGGAUGUUUCCUUUUACAACUAUCCCAAUCUGAAUUUAUAAAGACUAGAAACGGAUUACUUUAAACAGCUUAAAAGGCAACUAGUUAACGCGAUUAGAAAUGCAAUGGAAACGGAAAGUCAUUUGAAACGCGAAGCAAAAUUACAAAAAUUUAAAGGACUUGAAUAUCUCCACAGAAAGUCAAAUGUCCAUGGUCAUCUCAAAAGUCCUAAGGUUUAGUCAGCAAAGCAAAAGAACCAAUUAAAGUUAACAGAUUUCGGAGAAUCGCACGCUCAAUUAAGUUAAAAAAAAGUCAAACGUUUCGUCGAUCCCAACUAAAAAAGUCAAACAAGGAACCACUUCAUCGUUUGAAGCUCCGGAAAUGUUUGUGUGAGAAGACAAAGCAGGAUGCGAAAAUGAAUCAACCAGUAAUCGUUCUAGAAGAAAACACAUUUUUCCUCAAAGACGAAACUGUAGCCAUACAGAUUAAAGUUAGCUGUUGUGCUGAAGCAAUGGCAUACUUAUGUGCGUUGCAUUACGUUUUUCAAUAUGCCUAACCUGAUGCCCUCCACACAGUUUUCGGCUUUUUUGGAAGGAUGUUGAAAAUUCCCCAAACACCUGUUACAGUCAAUGCAACGAUUGAAUUUUUUGGCUCGUGUAAAUGCUGUGAAUUUCUCUAUAGACAGAUUCUGUUGUGUGUGGCAUAUUUAUAAACCGAACAGAGAUCGAUAUAGAAGUGAAAGUAAAGUAGAUUUUUGUUAAAUAUUGAAUUUAAUACAAAAGUUUGUUUUUCU